GAGUGUGGGGGGUGAGUGUGUGAGAGGGUGAGAGAGCUAAAGGGAGACAUAUAGAGAGGGAGAGAGAGAAAAGUAGAAGGAGGAGGGUGUUCUCCAGUGGGGAGUGUAGAUUAGGAGAGUGAGACAUUUACACCUGUGAGAUUUUUUUUUUGAUAACACUUUCUAGCAUAAAUGACUAAGUGAUAUAUUAAACGUUUAAGCCAGUUGUUUUUUUUUUUGUUUUUUGUUUUUUUUGUUUUUUUAGAAGAGCCAGGGGGUAUCAUUUCAAAGCACGUUAACCACUGACAAUUUUUUUUUUUUUAAAGGAAGUAACGGGAUCCGACCUGGUCAAAACAAACAAUAUAUUUGUGUGAUUUGUGUCUUCCCAAACACCCUGGCUGGUUUAGAAAUGGCAGAAGAUACUUUUAAUGAUGUCGCAGAGGAAGACUAGAGUGAAUUGUGGUGUUUGACAGUAUUUGAUUUAAUGACACGUUCCUAAUCCACCUUAGAGUACAUGUAGGCUAAAUAUACAAAUAUGGCAGCACAAUAUCUUCAGAGUCCAACAGGAAUAUCUGUAGCUGUAACGUUCAAAUGUGACUGUAGUCACUUCAAUACAUGCAAUAGGUGCUCAUGGCUCCCUGAUAGGGCGAAUAAACCAUUGUUUGUUUUGACCAGAUCAAAUCCCUUUACUUCCCUUCCCUUUUUUUUUUUUUUUUUAAAUAUUGUCAGUGGUUAACGUGCUCUGAAUGACGGUUAGGACGUGGAUGACUGAACGAGUUUUUACUGUUUUCUGAGUGACUAGUUUAAACAACGUGGUCUCAGUUUGUUCCGAUGUAUUUUAGCAAAUCAAGCUGAUGUGCUGCGUGUUGUUCUGAUGGGAGGCUGCUGAGGGUCUGAGUGUUUCUGAGAACAAACCCGAGUUAAACCUGAAGUUCUGCUCUGGAUCUGUUCCACUGAACACACAAACUAACACACAACACAGCAGUGGACGUGCUUCUAUGUUGUGGGUUUUCUUGGUGAGACAAUAAAUAGUUGUCUGACUUGUUCUUAACCAGGAAGCCUGUGUUAAGUUGUGAUUAUCCCCAGGUGACAUGGACGUGUUUCCUGAACAAUCACCAGGCGUUAAACACCUGACAGAAUGACAGUGCUCUAUGUAGAUGAAGCAGAAUGCUUGUCGAGCUGAUCGGGAGCACAAUGAGUAAAACAGUGGUCUCGUAAUUUUAUCGCUGGAUUACGUGGUUUCGAAUCCUCUCACCUACUUGAAAAAUACGUGUUUUUUAUUUCGGCCCGCACGUUUCUUUUUACUGUCUGUAGAUGAUAUUUACAUGGAUAUAGACUUUAUUAAGUAGUGAUGCCGACGUUUUUCGGCGAGGUCUUCUUUAUCUGGUAUCUUUAUUUCACGUAAAUCCAGGUCUGAUCGUGACGAAUCUGCGAACGAAACAUCUGGAGACGGAAACUAUCGCCAGUUAACCUGAUCACCAGUUAAACUGGAACACUGGCUCACUGUGCUGCAUACAGUUACGCACUGCGUCGUACGAUUGAGACAAGGAAACUUGGAAUGACUUUUCAGAGGUCCCUCUCUAUCUCCCCACACAUCCACCAACCACUGGAACACAUCUCCAAAGUUCUGCCGGUCCAGCUCAGCUUCCCCUCAGAAGAAGUGCUGCCACCUGCCAGAUGAAGGAGCCUUUUGAGAGGCAGCUGGCAUCGUGAUUGGACUGUACUUUGGUCUGUUCCAAUCCAGCUUCAGCUCCAGUGACGGCAGGUGGGACGAGUCAACGGAGGCCUGGUGGACGAAGGCCUGCAGCUGAGUACAAUCCAGAAAACAACAGAGGAGGAGUGCAGGGCCAGAACAAACAGAGUAGCACAUUAUGUCUCUUAGAAAACAUCAUAGUAUAGCCUUUGCUAUGAAAAAACACCAUCAUAUACAUCGUAUAUUGUACAAAUAACAAGUCAAAGGAAAGAGACAUACAUUGUAGAAUUGUAGUAAUUGUGGGCUGACUGAUUUACUGAUUAUCAGUAUUUGAUUUUUUUUUAUUGAUUUAUGGUAAUAAAUACAUUUAAAAAUGGU